GUUCAGAAUAAUAAUAUAUGACUUAUGUAACUAUUACACAAGUAAUGGUUUUACAUUUCAAUGAUGUGUUCAGAAUAAUGCAUAUAUUGACAACGCUACUAUGACUUGAGAACAAUUCAGGGACAACAUGAAACUGGAAAAAGAUCAUCAAUACAAACUACUACAGCAGCAAUAAAAUUUUAUUACUUAAGUGGGUGCGGCACAGCAAUAUGUUGACUCAAAUUUCC
rnacentral:lncRNA from 1 species